rnacentral:rRNA from 1 species
UAAUACGGGGGGGGCAAGCGUUGUUCGGAAUUACUGGGCGUAAAGGGCUCGUAGGUGGCCAACUAAGUCAGACGUGAAAUCCCCAGGCUUAACCUGGGAACUGCGUCUGAUACUGGAUGGCUUGAAUUCGGGAGAGGGAUGCAGAAUUCCAGGUGUAGCGGUGAAAUGCGUAGAUAUCUGGAGGAACACCGGUGGCGAAGGCGGCAUCCUGGACCGAAACUGACGCUGAGGCGCGAAAGCCAGGGGAGCAAACGG